UUCAGGGGUUGCAGAUACUCCGUAACGAUCCGGUUGCUCAUAAAUCUUUGCAAGUUCAUACAUAGCUCUAACUGAUUCGGGCCCCUUAGACUUACAUGCACGUUCGAGCCAUUGCACACCGAGAGAUAUAUUGCGUUUUUGCCCUAACAAACCAUUUAAGUAAAUCAGAGCGAUACGAAACAUAGCUUCGACUACAUCCAUUUCAGCUGCCUUUUUAUAGAUGGCAACGCACUUACUAGUGUCCGGCUUAACCCCGGUACCAGUUUGAAGACAAACAGCAACUCUGUAAUUACUCAAAGGAUGUCCUUUUUUAGCUGCAAGGCUGUACAACUCAAAUGCUUUUCCCAAAUCGCGUCUAAAUCCUAAUACCCCCUGACUGUGAAAUUGUCCUAUUAAAAACAGAGCUUCGGGUACAGUAUUCUGGGUUUUGCUAGGAUAAGCAUUCUUUUUUAAAAGUUCAACAGCUCUGGUUCGAUAAACAUUGAUUCGAGUAUUAUAACUAGCCUGGUCGGGAGCUAAGCUCGGCUUGUUUUCUAAAGUUUCUAAUGCAUUCAAAUAAACUUUUGCCAACUCAACUUCGUCAUCAGGUGUGAUUUGAGAUUUUUGGCGAAGACGCUGUUCUUCUUGCAUAGCGUCUCCGUGCGUCACAAUUUUUGGUGACGGAAUCAUCAACUUAUCAUCAGGAUGACAAGGAAUCGCAUCCUUCGUCUUUUCUUUUGCUUCUGCACCCACUUCAAAAAUAGCGGGUGAAGAAGCAUUACUGUUAGACAUCAUAGAUAUAUUCCUUUCAAACUUGGAAUUAGCAACCUUGGAUGAUACAUUAGCAACCGAUGUAUUUUUGUGAUUACCAAUAGACUUAUUACUUUGCUGUGGAAUAGGGGAAAACGAAGGUGUCACAGCUAAGUUAUGUGAAAUCGGUGUGCUAUCAGCACGCAUUAUCGGGGAAGAAACAGAAGGGAGAGGACGAAUGUCAGAAACUAACCCAUGGGUUGUGUGUACCGGAGGAAUUGGCGAUAAAGGACUUGUUUGACCGUGUAUAGAAGUAGGCAUUGGUUUAAUUGCCUUAGGACGUGCAAGGUUUGUAGGAUAUGAAGGUAAAUUAUUAACAGUUGGGUUUGUGCGAUUAUUAUCAUAACCUUCGGGAGAGUUAUUAUUCGAGUUCCUCGAAACAUUUCUACGAUCAAAUGUAGGAGCAGGAACCUCAACUGGAGAACGAGCUGGUAGCAUUACCAUUUGAGAAUGUGGAUAACGAGGUGGUUGUUGAAGUGUAAGCAAAUCAUCAUUUCGAGGAUUUUUCAAAGUUUCGGAUGAUUUUAAGUCAUUAGAAACUGAAGGAAGCGAACGUUCAUCGCUUUCUAACCCGAAUGAAUCUGUAUUCGAGUCGGUUGAUGAAAAGUGACUUUUUGAAGGGAGGUGUCCAGAGUUUUCAUAAACUGGUCCCAAAUGACGAUGAGCAGGUUCUGCAUCUGACGAAGCAUUAGAAACUGUAUUUGUGAUGGAGUCACUUUCUGCUCCAUCUUCUUCCUCCAAAGUUUCUAUUCGAGAGUUACUCUUAAGCUGAUUGUCUUCAAGUACAGUAUCGUCAUCCUUGUAAUAGUUAUCUAAGAAGUCAUCAAACCCACCGUAUGGUAUGUAACUCAUACGACGCUGUACACGACUUAUAGAAUUAACACGUGGAGGUGCCAUAUAUUUUCUAUGAGGAUCCGGUUGUCCAAUCUCAUCCUUUCCAUCAUCUAAAUUGGUCAUUGGCGUUGGUCG
rnacentral:lncRNA from 1 species